AUUAUUUCUUCUUUCUAAAUGUCAGUUUCCUUGUUGAUACCAUAUGAACAAAGAGAGCCUACUAGACAUGGUUGAAGUGAAGAUUAAAUGAGAUCUCUAAAAAACUAAGUGCAGUGUCAGGUAAAUGUGAAGGGCCCAAUGUAAAUUGUGGUUAUUGUUACUAUUUUGUAAUUUAAUCCUCAAAACUUUUUGUGAAAAAAGAAGAAAGCCUGUUGUUUUGGUUGCCUCACCCCAUUUUACAAGUGAGGGAAGUGGGGUUUGAGUCAGUAAUUUCAUAUCUCAUUUUCUUCCAUUCAUAUCUGGAUUCAGAAAGAAAAAUAUUAUGACAUGUAAGCUCCUAAUUUGAGGCAGCAAUUCCAGUAAAGUUUGUUGUCUAGACAAAAUGGGUUACAAACCCUAGCUUUUCAAGAAUUGAUUAUUACACAUUGACCAUAAUAUUGUUCUUCCCACUGACAACCAUCUUAUUAUUCAGUAAAAGGUAAUGUAUGAGAGUGUGUGUAAAACAGCCAUAACUCUAGAAGACCACUCAUGAGGCUAGUUUAAGAGUGCUCAGUCCUAUUCAAUCCACUAUAAUUAAGAGUGUUAGGUGGUGGUGGUGGGUUUUUUUUGUUUUUUUGUUUUUGUUUUUUUUUAUAAACCAAGGAUAAGUGUGAUAGAGUAACAUUCCACUCUCCAUUUCUUGGUUCCAGGGCACUACUGUAUUGCAUUACUGUCUUUAGUUUUUUUCAAUGGCAAGGAGUUUCCCAAUUCAGAGAAGUUUGAUCCAGGACACUUUUUGGAUAAAAAUAGCAGCUUCAGAGAGAAAUCACAAGUAGAUGGACAGGCAGGCAGAGAGAGAGAGAGAGAGAGGGAAGCAGGCUCCCCGCCGAGCAGAGAGCCCGACGCGGGACUUGAUCCCAGGACCCUGAGAUCAUGACCUGAGCUGAAGGCAGCGGCUUAACCCACUGAGCCACCCAGGCGCCCCACAAUGCAGGUUUUUAAAGAAACCAAAGAAGGGCAAUCCAAAUCAGAGCCAUUUUCUUUAGAGACAUUAUUUGGCAACUAUUAUUUCAUCUUAUGAAGGACGUUUUUUGAAAGGU